rnacentral:rRNA from 1 species
AUUGAACGCUGGCGGCAGGCCUAACACAUGCAAGUCGAGCGGAUGAAGGGAGCUUGCUCCUAGAUUCAGCGGCGGACGGGUGAGUAAUGCCUAGGGAUCUGCCUGGUAGUGGGGGAUAACGUCCGGAAACGGGCGCUAAUACCGCAUACGUCCUGAGGGAGAAAGUGGGGGAUCUUCGGACCUCACGCUAUCAGAUGAGCCUAGGUCGGAUUAGCUAGUUGGUGGGGUAAAGGCCUACCAAGGCGACGAUCCGUAACUGGUCUGAGAGGAUGAUCAGUCACACUGGAACUGAGACACGGUCCAGACUCCUACGGGAGGCAGCAGUGGGGAAUAUUGGACAAUGGGCGAAAGCCUGAUCCAGCCAUGCCGCGUGUGUGAAGAAGGUCUUCGGAUUGUAAAGCACUUUAAGUUGGGAGGAAGGGCAGUAAGUUAAUACCUUGCUGUUUUGACGUUACCAACAGAAUAAGCACCGGCUAACUUCGUG